rnacentral:rRNA from 1 species
CGUGUAGGCGGUGCGGUAAGUUGGGCGUGAAAUCCCCGAGCUUAACUCGGGUGGGCCGUUCAAGACUGCCGUGCUAGGGUGCGGGAGAGGGAAGUGGAAUUUCCGGUGUAGCGGUGAAAUGCGUAGAUAUCGGGAGGAACACCUGCGGCGAAGGCGGCUUCCUGGACCGUAACCGACGCUGAGGCGCGAAAGCUAGGGGAGCAAACAGGAUUAGAUACCCGUGGUAGUCCUAGCCCUAAACGAUGAGCACUGGGUGUGGCCCCUCACGAGGCCGUGCCGAAGCUAACGCAUUAAGUGCUCCGCCUGGGGAGUACGGUCGCAAGGCUGAA